rnacentral:rRNA from 1 species
GAUGAACGCUGGCGGCGUGCCUAAUACAUGCAAGUCGAGCGAACAGACGAGGUGCUUGCUCCACUGACGUUAGCGGCGGACGGGUGAGUAACACGUGGAUAACCUACCUAUAAGACUGGGAUAACUUCGGGAAACGGGUGCUAAUACCGGAUAAUAUCUUUAAACGCAUGGUUCAAUAGUGAAAGACGCUUUUGCUGUACCCUAAAGUUGGAUCCCCGCCUCUUUGGCUAGUUGGGAAGGUAACGGCUUACCAAGCGGACGUAGCGAAGCCGACCUGGGAGGUGGUUCGGCCACUCUGGAACUGGGACACGGUCCAGACUCUUACGGGAGGCGGCGUAAGGGAAUCUUCGGCAAUGAGCGAAAGCCGGACGGGGCAACGCCGCGUGAGGGAUGAGGGUCUUCGGAUCGUAAAACUCUGUUAUUAGGGAAGAACAAAGGUGUAAGUAACUAUGCACGUCUUGACGGUACCUAAUCAGAAAGCCACGGCUAACUACGUG